GGUGGCGUAGCUCAACGGUAGAGCUCACAAGAAAUAUCAAACGUUAGUUAGGAUCAGGGGGGACUGCCCAAGUGGUGGAACUUGAACUGCUAGUGUCUGGUUGCGAAUUGUGGUAUUGAGCUGGUUCGACUCCAGCCGUCACCA